UGGGGGAAUAUUGCACAAUGGGGGGAAACCCUGAUGCAGCGACGCCGCGUGGAGGAAGAAGGUCUUCGGAUUGUAAACUCCUGUCGUUGGGGACGAUAAUGACGGUACCCAACAAGAAAGCCACGGCUAACUACGUGCCAGCAGCCGCGGUAAAACGUAGGUGGCAAGCGUUGUCCGGAAUUACUGGGUGUAAAGGGAGCGCAGGCGGAAGGACAAGUUGGAAGUGAAACCCACGGGCUCAACCCGUGAACUGCUUUCAAAACUGUUUUUCUGAGUGGUGUAGAGGUAGGCGGAAUUCCCGGUGUAGCGGUGGA
rnacentral:rRNA from 1 species